rnacentral:rRNA from 1 species
AAUCAACGCUGGCGGCGUGCCUAACACAUGCAAGUCGAACGAGAAAGUGGAGCAAUCCAUGAGUAAGGUGGCGCACGGGUGAGUAACACGUGACUAACCUACCCUUGAGUGGGGGAUAACCUCGGGAAACCGGGGCUAAUACCGCAUAAUACCGAGAGGUCAAAGGAGCAAUUCGCUUAAGGAGGGGGUCGCGGCUGAUUAGCUAGUUGGUGAGGUAAUGGCUCACCAAGGCGANGAUCAGUAUCCGGCCUGAGAGGGCGCACGGACACACUGGAACUGAAACACGGUCCAGACUCCUACGGGAGGCAGCAGUGGGGAAUUUUGCGCAAUGGGGGAAACCCUGACGCAGCAACGCCGCGUGGAGGAUGAAGUCCCUUGGGACGUAAACUCCUUUCGAUCGGGACGAUUAUGACGGUACCGGAAG